GAAAUGUAAUUGCUUAGUUGUUGUGUCAUGUCCAAAUUGCCCGGUAUGAUGGUAUAGCAAGCAAUAGAAGAAAAUGAGGUGAAGAGGAGAAUGAAAGGAUAUUGGUAAACAUGAGAUUUUGUAGAAAAUAUCUAAUUCGCCCAAAAGUGCCCACUGGAAGAAGUCAAGCAGGUGGGGGAGGGAGGCAAGGAGGGAUUGACCAUCAUCUGUGCUCACAUGUGCACCAACAGCUGGGCUAAUGGGAGAUCAAGAGACCACAUGAUUGCAGAAGGAGAUCAAGCCAGUACAUCAACAUGACCUGCAGACUCCUGAGCCCUAUUUGAAGAAACUCAUUUGCAAAUCCCUCAAUAGUUUCAUGCCUUCAUAAGGCGUUAAAGUGCUCCAUCCAGGAUGUAGAGGUCAAGAAGGGAAUCCAGGUGGGAAGCAUGUGUCAGGAGCGCCUGAUUAUGUCUGAUAAAGAAGUAAGAAUCACUGGUAAUUCUAUUUAAAAACAUUAUAUCAAAG
rnacentral:lncRNA from 1 species